rnacentral:rRNA from 1 species
GAUACUCAAUUUAAAGUGAGUAAAUAGAAUUCCAUACUCGAUCUCAUAUAUCCCUAUAGAAUUCUGUGGAAAGCCGUAUUCGAUGAAAGUCGUAUGUACGGCUUGGAGGGAGAUCUUUCCUAUCUUUCGAGAUCCACCCUACAAUAUGGGGUCAAAAAGCCAAAACAUAAGUGA